rnacentral:rRNA from 1 species
GACGAACGCUGGCGGCGUGCCUAAUACAUGCAAGUUGAGCGAUGAAGCUUGGUGCUUGCACCCAUUUGAAGAGCAGCGAACGGGUGAGUAACGCGUGGGGAAUCUGCCUUUGAGCGGGGGACAACAUUUGGAAACGAAUGCUAAUACCGCAUAACAACUUUAAACAUAAGUUUUAAGUUUGAAAGAUGCAAUUGCAUCACUCAAAGAUGAUCCCGCGUUGUAUUAGCUAGUUGGUGAGGUAAAGGCUCACCAAGGCGAUGAUACAUAGCCGACCUGAGAGGGUGGAUGGCCACAAUGGGAAUGAGACACGGCCCAAACGACUACGGGAGGGAGCAGGAGGGAAACUUCGGCAAGGGAAGAAAGGCCGAACGAGGAACGGCGGGUGAGGGAAGAAGGUUGUCGGAUAGUAAAACUCGGUUGGUAGAGAAGAACGUUGGUGAGAGUGGAAAGCUCAUAAAGUGACGGUAACUACCCAGAAAGGGACGGCUAACUACGUG